GGGGAAUAUUGCGCAAUGGGGGAAACCCUGACGCAGCGACGCCGCGUGGGUGAUGAAGGCCUUCGGGUUGUAAAGCCCUGUCGGCUGGGAACAAGUUAGACGUGCUCAUACCACGUUUGAUUGAGUGUACCAGCAAAGGAAGCACCGGCUAACCCUGUGCCAGCAGCCGCGGUAAUACAGGGGGUGCUAGCGUUGUUCGGAAUUACUGGGCGUAAAGGGCGCGUAGGCGGUUUCGCAAGUCAGAAGUGAAAUCCCGGAGCUUAACUCCGGAACUGCUUCUGAUACUGCGAGGCUUGAGUGUAUUAGAGGAUGGCGGAAUUCCUAGUGUAGUGGUGAAAUACGUAGAUAUUAGGAAGAACACCGGUGGCGAAGGCGGCCAUCUGGGAUACAACUGACGCCGAGGCGCGAAAGCGUGGGGAUCAAAC
rnacentral:rRNA from 1 species